GGCAUAGUAAAGAUUUUUAUGGUAUGUUUUGCAAAUAUUGCAUGUAUACUUGAAGAGAAAAUGUAUUCUGUAAUUUUUGUGUACAUGGUUCUGUAUAUAUUAAUUUUGAUCAAGCUUUUAAAUUGUGUUAUUCAGGUCUAUAUCUUAGACUUAGUUAUUUACUGUUGGUUUGACCUACUGCUAUUUGAGAGACAAACUUAAAACUUUCUCACUGUACUUUGAUCGUUUUUACUCAUGACACUAAGUAUUUUUUCUGCUUAAUAUAUUUUAAGGACUCUUAAUUAAAUGCAUACAUGUUAAAACUUUGUAUCUUCAUGUUAUGCUGAAACUUUUAUCAUUAUAUAAUGGUUCUCUGUAUAUUUUUGCCUUAAAUUCCUUUUGGUUCAAAAUUAAUAUAAAUACCAAAGCUAUAUACAUAAGCCUAUCAUUUUGCUUCUAAACAUCUCAUUUUAUUACAUUUUUUGAAUGUUCUCUCCCCCCCCCAACAAAACUGAUAAUCUUUGUUUUAUAUAACAUUAUAUAACAUUAAGAUUGAAUGUCAUUUCUGUUCUGGGACUUCUUUACUUUAAAACAUUUAUUUGUAAAAAAUGGGAGAGAGAGGGAGAGAGAGAGAGAAAGAAAGAGAGAGAGAGAGAGAGAGAAAUCUUCCCUAGUUGUUCUUUCCCAAAAUGGCCAAUACAGCUUGUGCCAAAGCCAGGAUCCAGGAACUCCAUCUAGAUCUCCUGAAUGGGUGGCAGGGACUUGUGCUGUCAUCCACUGACUCCCAGGUGUGUUAGCAGAGAGCUGAAUGGAAAGUGGAAUGAGGAGCUAGGGCUGCACUCUGACAUAGAAUGUAGGCAUCCCAAGUGGUAGCUUAAUGUGAUGCACUAUAACUCCCACCCUACUUCUUUUAACAUUGAUGACUUAUUUAAUGUAUUUGAAAGGCAGACACACACACAAACAGAAGAGAGAGAAGAGAGAAGAGAGAAGAGAGAAGAGAGAAGAGAGAAGAGAGAAGAGAGAAGAGAGAAGAGAGAAGAGAGAGAUCUUGGCCAGGUCAAAGUUAAUAGCUGGGAACUCAAUCCAGAUCUCCAAACUGGCUGGCAGGAACUCAGGUUCCAAAAUCUUUGAAGGAAUCAAAGGAGAUCACAGAGAUGCAGCAUAAGCUUAAUUAGGUAAAUUGACUAUGAUAAUAUUGUUAAUUAUUUCUAUAGACAUUUGCCAAAGGUUAACUUUCAAACUUAAAUAAGAUAUAUUGUCAGUUGCUUCCAAAUUAAAAUGCUGACUCUAGUAAGAGAAAC
ensembl:lncRNA